GCUAUACAUGCAAACUAAACCUUUGCCCUCACGGUGAGGGGUGCAUUUUAUUAGAACAAAACCCAGGCGGCUUUCGCCGAAUUUUGUUGACUCAAAUUAACUCAGCUGAUCGCACGGUCUUGCACCGGCGACGUGUCAUUCAAGUAUCUGCCUUAUCAACUUUUGACGGUAGUGUAUUUGACUACCGAGGUUGUAACGGGUAACGGAGGAUUAGGGUUUGACUCCGGAGAAGGGGCCUGAGAAAUGGCCACUACGUCUAAGGAUGGCAGCAGGCGCGCAAAUUACCCACUCUCAGAACGAGGAGGUAGUGACGAGAAAUAACGAGACCGUUCUUUUUAAGGCCGGUCAUCGGAAUGGGUUAAAUUUAAACCCUUUGGCGAGUAUCUAUGAGAGGGCAAGUCUGGUGCCAGCAGCCGCGGUAAUUCCAGCUCUCAAAAUACAUAGAAUUUUUGCUGCGGUUAAAAAGCUCGUAGUUGGAUUUGUGCCGAGGGCGUGGUGCACCUUUGGGUGUUACUGCGUGCCGAGGCUUUGUGCCGGUCUUCUCAUCGUAGUCUCUGCGAUUGCGAUGGGUGGCUGGCGAGUUACUUUGAACAAAUCAAAGUGCUCAAAACAAGCGUUUCGCUUGAAUGAUUUUGCAUAGAAUAAUAGAAGAGGACUUCGGUCUAAUUUUAUUGGUUUUAUAGACCAAAGUAAUGGUUAAUAGGGAUUGACGGGGUCAACCGUAUUGUUGCGUGAGAGGUGAAAUUCUUGGACCGCAGCAAGACGAACAAUAGCGAAAGCAGUUGACCAGAAUAUCUCCAUUAAUCAAGAACGAAAGUCAGAGGUUCGAAGGCGAUCAGAUACCGCCCUAGUUCUGACCGUAAACGAUGCCAACUAGCGAUCUGCCGGCGGCAGUGAUGCCCUGGUAGGGAGCUCCUCGGAAACGAAAGAUCGGUUCCGGGGGAAGUAUGGUUGCAAAGCUGAAACUUAAAGGAAUUGACGGAAGGGCACCACCAGGAGUGGAGCCUGCGGCUUAAUUUGACUCAACACGGGGAAACUCACCCGGUCCGGACACCGUAAGGAUUGACAGAUCGAUAGCUCUUUCAUGAUUUGGUGGAUGGUGGUGCAUGGCCGUUCUUAGUUCGUGGAGCGAUUUGUCUGGUUUAUUCCGAUAACGAACGAGAUUCUGGUCUAUUAAAUAGCCUACAUAUUCUUUUGUGUGUGGAGCUUCUUAAAGAGAUUUUCGGUUUACAACCGCAUGAAAUUGAGCAAUAACAGGUCUGUGAUGCCCUUAGAUGUCCGGGGCUGCACGCGCGCUACACUGGUGUAGUGAGUGUGCUUGUCCUUUCCCGAAAGGGAUUGGUAAACCGGUCAAGUUAUUCCGUGAUUGGGAUCGGAAAUUGCAAUUAUUUUCCGUGAACGAGGAAUUCCAAGUAAAUGCGAGUCAUCAGCUCGCGUUGAUUACGUCCCUGCCCUUUGUACACACCGCCCGUCGCUGCCCGGGACUGAGCCAUUUCGAGAAAACUGGGGAUCCUGUGCGCUCGUUCUUCGGGAACGAUCGCAUGGCGAGAACCAGUUUAAUCGCAGUGGCUUGAACCGGGCA
rnacentral:rRNA from 1 species